rnacentral:lncRNA from 1 species
CUCAUGCUCCAUAAACAUAAAAUAAAGCUCAUCAGCUAAAGCAAUCCUAAUUUCAGGCUAAUUGAACGUUCAAGUUUUUAAACUUCUUCCCUUCCGAAUUCCCACUGAGUUGCAAACUCAAAAUAGUUUGACCAUCUUUUCUUUGAUCUAACCUUAGUACAUGCUUCCAUGUGGGAUUUUAAAGAAGACAUACCAUUUUUUUGUGAACUGGCUACAAGAAUAGUAUGGUAGAUUUUCUCUCAUUCUUUAUUGACAAAUUGUUUCAGAAUGGUCCAUACAAAAGGAGCUGUUGGGGGUUAGAGGCUCUAGUUGUGGUUGUGAAUUAGAUGCAAUAAAUGAUGUAGAAGUCAGCUAAGUUAUAGUAGAAGUUGGAGCUGUUGGAGCUAUAGUUGGAUUUGGAGUCUCCAAAAAUUCUUGAAAGGUAAACGAGCUUCCAUAGUAUUUCAAGGCAAUUGAAAUGACUUCUUACGUGUCUUCGGUUGUAUCUCUUCCUCUUUUUGUUUCCUAAAUCACAAUAAUAUAAUUAUCUAUUAAUCAAUAAGAACAAACUUGAUAUCUUUUUAGUUAGUAAAUGAAAAGCAUACCUCUUUAGUCCUUACUUACAUUGUCCAGAAGGGGAAUUUCAAAACAACUCGAUCAACUGAGAGCAGGGGAGCUGGACGGAGAGUCGACGGAAUAGAUCAAGCGGAGGUGGAGACAGAGCAAGGACAUCAGAGGCGAAGAAUGGACGGUGAUGCAGAGCAAGGACGGU